rnacentral:rRNA from 1 species
GACAGAGGGUGCAAACGUUGUUCGGAAUUACUGGGCGUAAAGCGAGUGUAGGCGGUCUACUAAGUCGGGUGUGAAAGCCCUGGGCUCAACCCAGGAAGUGCACUCGAAACUGGUGGGCUAGAGUAUCGGAGAGGUUGGUGGAAUUCUCGGUGUAGAGGUGAAAUUCGUAGAUAUCGAGAGGAACACCGGUGGCGAAGGCGGCCAACUGGACGAAUACUGACGCUGAGACUCGAAAGCGUGGGGAGCAAACAGG